UGCAUAGCCGACCUGAGAGGGUGAUCGGCCACACUGGAACUGAGACACGGUCCAGACUCCUACGGGAGGCAGCAGUAGGGAAUCUUCCGCAAUGGGCGAAAGCCUGACGGAGCAACGCCGCGUGAGUGAUGAAGGUCUUCGGAUCGUAAAACUCUGUUAUUAGGGAAGAACAUAUGUGUAAGUAACUGUGCACAUCUUGACGGUACCUAAUCAGAAAGCCACGGCUAACUACGUGCCAGCAGCCG
rnacentral:rRNA from 1 species